ACCGUAAAAGUGAAGAAAUUUUAUUUUUAANUUUAGAAAAAAAUUUANNNNNAGAAGAGAUGUGAUUUUUUUNAGAGGUAAAAUUUAGAAAAAGNCAAUUUUUUCANUAANACAGAUUUUUGAAACCUUUUGAANUAAAACUAGGAUUAGAUACCCUAUUAUUAUUAAGUGUAAAAAAAUNUAGGUAGUAGUGGAUGGCUUGAAACUUAAAGAAUUUGGCGGUGUUUUAAUCUAAUCAGAGGAACUUGCGUUUUAACUCGAAAUUACACGUUUUAUCUUACUUAAAUAAAAGUUUGUAUAUCGUCGUAAAAAUAAAGCUUUAAAGUGAAUAUUAAAACUUAUUUAANUAAAAAAUUACAGAUCAAGGUUCAGCANAUAUUUAAGNAAAACGUGAGUUACAAUAUUNNUUUAGAUAAAUGAAUACUUUUUUNNGAAAGANGGASUUUGAAGGUGGAUUUGAAAGU
rnacentral:rRNA from 1 species